AUACGGAGGGGGCUAGCGUUGUUCGGAAUUACUGGGUGUAAAGGGUGCGUAGGCGGCUUUGUACGUCAGAGGUGAAAUCUACCGGCUCACCCGGUUAGACUGCCUCUGAAACUGCAAGGCUUGAGUCCGUCAGGGGAUGGUGGAAUUCCUGGUGUAACGGUAAAAUGUGCAGAUAUCAGGAAGAACACCGGUGGCGAAGGCGGCCAUCUGGGACGGUACUGACGCUGAGGCACGAAAGCUAGGGUAUCGAACGGGAUUAGAAACCCCUGUAGUCC
rnacentral:rRNA from 1 species